rnacentral:rRNA from 1 species
UACGGCCAAGCAGUAAGUCAGGAUGUGAGUCAAAUGUUUACAUCCGUGUUGACAAGCUGUGAUGGGGAGCGAAAUUUAAGUAGCGAAGUUGCCGAUGUCACACUGCCGAGAAAAGCUUCUAAGGAGUAGUUAACUGCCCGUACCGCAAACCGACACAGGUAGUCGAGGAGAGAAUCCUAAGGUGAGCGAGAGAACUCUCGUUAA